UAUGCAUCAUAUCAUCCAUUUUUUUUAAUAAAUAAAAUUAUUUUAUAAAGCCAAUCUAUUUUUGUUUUCUCUCUCUCCAUCUCUGCAUUGAAAAUUCAAAUUUGCUUGAACUAUUUUAAAAACCAGUUUAAAACAAUUUUGAAAAGAGAAGAUAAAGAGUUUUUAAAAUAAAACCUAACCUAAUCUGGGCUGUCCUCUUCCUCUGGCCCAUCUCUGCUUCCAGCCUGAUCCAGACCAUCUCUCCCUCCCUUCCUUCUUCUUUUCGGCCCAAGCCCACUCCUCUUUCAGCCAACGUACCCCUUCGGGACGGAGAGCUUCUCCUCAUGUCGCUUUCUUCUUCACACACGGUGGCGUGACCACCACCGCACAUGGUUGCCUCACCCACCUGCUCCCUCUCCCCUUUUAUCCCCCUUCCCAAAAUCAGCAAACCCUAGCUCCCACCAACCCUAGCUCGCCUCCCUCCUUGCGCCGCCACCCCUCUCACCUAUCUCUUUCUCUCUGUGAGCAAACGAAACACGAGAAACCCCACAAGAAAGCACCCACCUCGCCAUGGCGCCGUCACUACACACCAUCCCCCGCCGUUCUGAGGGCACCGGCGGAUCCGCCUCGUCGAGUUCUACGUCGUGGUGCAAGGAAUCGAGUCAAUACCCCGUAAAUCGAGCGCGAGGUCGCCGUUUCUCCUCCAUGGCCGCCAUGCUCCGGCGUCGAUUCCGGCCGCCCUCGUCCUCCUCCGGCCAAACCGAGCGCACCUCCGGCUUCCUUGUGUUCUCGCGCAUCCCCGACGCCAAGUUCACCGUCCCGUUUCGCCCUGGCCUGCUGGAUCCAUGAGCGACCAGAGCUCCUCCGCCAUGGUCUUCAUCCUGGAGCUCCGCGUGUCUGCUUCAGGUUGCUGGGAGCCCAUCUCUUGACACCAUCCAGGCAGCAGCUCGACUGAUCUGGCGCUGAGAUAUGCAUCAAUUUCCGUGGAGCCUUUCCAUAAUCAACAUCACGAGCCUAAUCCAUCUGAUCUGGCGUCCCAUGGGCCUGGCCCGAGAUCAGCUGGCUCAGUCCAUCGCCUGCCUUGCGACCAGAAGCUAUCCGUCGCCCGCAGCAGGCCAGGUCGGGCCCAUGACAGUGCAGCAUUUGCCUCUUCCCGGAUAGGAUCGCGAAGUGGUGUUGUGAGAUACGACAAGUUCUCCAGAUGUUCCUCGGCAAGCUUUAACAGGCAAGCAUUUCCCCUAUACUCCUGCCCCUGCAGAAGUCGCUCACCUAUUUUAUUUUGCCUUCUCCCUCAUGCUAUCCUUAAGUUGCGUUCUUGUCACGUGUCCUGUCCACUUGUUACCUCAAGCAGCCCAUAUUGCCACCACCACCUCCUACGGCUAUUGUUUGGUUAUCGAGUCUGCCCUUGCGAGUCGUAGUGCAUGCUAGUGUUGUUUUAUCUCGUUACCGUUAUUGUUAUCUUAUCGGGUUAUAUGUUGGGAAGAAUCAUGGUUACUUUAGUUGUUGACAUUUGUUUAGCGGAGGCAUCGGUGGGUCAGCUGAUCGUUUUAUGACGGCUCACUUGUGUUUCCUUAAUAUCUUAGGACCCCGAGUUCUUGUUAUCUGUUCCGAGACUGAGCGCUCUAACCACACGUGGGUAUGCUUACCGGGUCUCCUCUCGACCACUGCCGGAAUCUACAGCUUUGUCCAGUGGCCACAACUAGUUUGGAUGUUUGUUUUGUUUCUCCCGGGCGUGCAAGCAUGUUUCUUUGUGGUCAGAUGAUAUGAUGUUACUUUUGGGGAAGCCGUGAGUGCCUUGUAACCCUGUUGUCUCUUGCACGCUCGUAGGUGCGGUCCGCAUUGUUAAGAGGUCAUCCUCUAGUGGGCUCUGAUCCUCUUAGCCGUUCUCGCAAUAGCUAGGUCCGCGUCAGAGUUUCGAUCGGGCUCUGAAACGGGUUAAACUUAGUUAGGUGGCUUCCUGGACAUUGUUGUAGUGAAGGAGAGUGCGUGUCGUGAUAUCCACCUGUCGUAAGUGGGUUGAUCGUACGUGUGGGCACAUUUGGGCACCCCUGCAGGGUUACAAUCUUAUCGAUAAGCCGUGUCCGCGGUUAUGGACGACUUGGAGCUGUAUGACUCGAUCAUAGACAACUUACACAUGUUGUUUCAAUCAUAAUAACUUGUGUAGUAAGUUAGCACAACUUCAAUAAUAAAUGGUUAAAACUUGACAACCGUGUGGGUGCCUUUGUAAGUACUUCUUUGCGAAGGGGGAAAACGUUGGCUGUGUUAUGUUUGCAGAGUAUAGAACUGUUAGCUUAUGCGCUCUCUCACCUUCUCUGAUUAGACGAAUGUUGUAGAGUGUCUCUAUAGGUUUUUAGUGCUUGCGCGCUGCCGCUUAACCCCACCAUAUUGUUCAUGACGUUCCUCUUGCGUCCUCUAAGUCCCCUGCGUGCCUCAAGUACAAAGGACGACUGGUUGACGAAUGCUUAUACGUCUUGAAGUCUUGUUAAGUACGAACCCGUACUUAUUGCUGCUUCUACGGGAUAUAACCGGGCAGGUAUGAAGAUAUGUUCGAUGAAGACGACGUUAGCAAGGUUACCCUUCCAGCUUGGCCUGGGCAGGGUUAUGGACGCCACUGGUUAUCUUCAGGACUCUUAGUCCAAUUUGUAUCUUGUCCGUACUCGGAUGUAUUUGCUCUUCUGUAUGAUUUGGAUCUUUGUAUUGUAUAUUUGUAUCUUGACUCGUUGGAGUCGUUGUUGUAAUAUAUGUAUCUUGUGGGCUCUAUUGUAAUCC